UACAGAGGGUGCAAGCGUUAAUCGGAUUUACUGGGCGUAAAGCGUGUGUAGGUGGCGGCGUAAGUCGAUUGUGAAAGCCCUGGGCUCAACCCGGGAAUGGCAGUCGAUACUGCGUCGCUAGGGUUCGGUAGAGGACGGCAGAAUUCCCGGUGUAGCGGUGAAAUGCGUAGAGAUCGGGAGGAAUACCGAUGGCGAAAGCAACCGUCUGGGCCUGAACUGACACUGAGACACGAAAGCGUGGGGAGCAAACAGGG
rnacentral:rRNA from 1 species